rnacentral:rRNA from 1 species
UACGUAGGGUGCAAGCGUUAAUCGGAAUUACUGGGCGUAAAGCGCGCGCAGGCGGUUUUGUAAGUCUGACGUGAAAUCCCCGGGCUCAACCUGGGAAUUGCGUUGGAGACUGCAAGGCUAGAAUCUGGCAGAGGGGGGUAGAAUUCCACGUGUAGCAGUGAAAUGCGUAGAGAUGUGGAGGAACACCGAUGGCGAAGGCAGCCCCCUGGGUCAAGAUUGACGCUCAUGCACGAAAGCGUGGGGAGCAAACAGG